rnacentral:tRNA from 1 species
UGCCCGAUGGUGUAACGGUAGCACCGCAGAUUCUGGAUCUGUUUGUCAAGGUUCGAAUCCUUGUCGGGCAGCCA